AUGCUCCCUUUGGCAGCACAUAUACUGAAAUUGGAAUGAAACAGAGAAGAUUAGCAAGGCCCCCACACAAGGAUGGCUUGCAAAUUCAUGAAGCAUUCCAUAUUUCU